rnacentral:rRNA from 1 species
AUGCACGCUGGCGGCGUGCCUCAUACAUUCAAGUCGAGCGCACGGACGAGAAGCUUGCUUUUCUGAUGUUAGCGGCGGACGGGUGAGUAACACGUGGAUAACCUACCUAUAAGACUGGGAUAACUUCGGGAAACCGGAGCUAAUACCGGAUAAUAUUUUGAACCGCAUGGUUCAAAAGUGAAAGACGGUCUUGCUGUCACUUAUAGAUGGAUCCGCGCUGCAUUAGCUAGUUGGUAAGGUAACGGCUUACCAAGGCAACGAUGCAUAGCCGACCUGAGAGGGUGAUCGGCCACACUGGAACUGAGACACGGUCCAGACUCCUACGGGAGGCAGCAGUAGGGAAUCUUCCGCAAUGGGCGAAAGCCUGACGGAGCAACGCCGCGUGAGUGAUGAAGGUCUUCGGAUCGUAAAACUCUGUUAUUAGGGAAGAACAUAUGUGUAAGUAACUGUGCACAUCUUGACGGUACCUAAUCAGAAAGCCACGGCUAACUACGUG